GCCCGCCUAGCUCAAUCGGCCAGAGCGUCAGACUUUUACGCAUGCAUCGGCGUGCCAUGUAAUCUGAAGGCUGCGAGUUCGACCCUCGCGGUGGGCU